rnacentral:rRNA from 1 species
GAUGAACGCUGGCGGCGUGCCUAAUACAUGCAAGUCGAACGGGGUGCAGCAAUGUAUCAAGUGGCGACCGGGUGCGUAACACGUAGCUGACCUGCCCCUCGGCGGGGGACAACAGGACGAAAGUCUUGCUAAUACCGCAUACAUUUCCAGGGUUUAGAAGCCUGGAAAGAAACUUGUGGGGUCGAGGGAGGGGGCUGCGGCCCAUCAGGUAGUUGGUGAGGUAACGGCUCACCAAGCCGACGACGGGUAGGGGACCUGAGAGGGUGGUCCCCCACAC